UUAGUUGGGCAGUAAAUAAUUAUACUAAAAUUGGAACGAUACAGAGAAGAUUAUAAUGGCCCCUGCGAAAGGGAACUCUUAGGAAUGAUAGUACAGUAGGCCUACUU